CGCAAUGGGCGAAAGCCUGACGGAGCGACGCCGCUUGAUGGAUGAAGUCCUUCGGGACGUAAACAUUUUUUUUGCGUGAGAAAGUUAUUGAUGUUAGCGCCUGAAUAAGGGGCUCCUAACUCUGUGCCAGCAGGAGCGGUAAUACCGAGGCCCCAAGCCUUAUCCGGAAUCACUGGGCGUAAAGGGUGUGUAGGCGGUUUUAUUAGUCUCUCGUGAAAGAUCUUGGGCUUAACCCCGGAGACGCGGGGGAAACGGUAGGGCUUUGAGGACGUAAGAGGUACAGGGAACUCAUGGUGUAGGGGUGAAAUCCGUUGAUAUCAUGGGGAACACCAAAUGCGAGGGCACUGUACUGGUACGCUCCCGACGCGAAACACGAAAGCGU
rnacentral:rRNA from 1 species